rnacentral:rRNA from 1 species
GACAAACGCUGGCGGCGUGCCUAAACAUGCAAGUCGAACGGACUCUUCGGAGUCAGUGGCGGACGGCUGAGUAACACGUAGGUGACCUGCCCUUGAGUGGGGAAUAACGGUCCGAAAGGAUCGCUAAUACCGCAUACGACCGCUGCAUUUUGGUUGUGGUGAGGAAAGACCGAAAGGCGCUCGAGGAGGGGCCUGCGUCCGAUUAGCUAGUUGGUGGGGUAAGGCCGUACCAAGGCGACGANCGGUAGCUGGUCUAAGAGGAUGAUCAGCCAGACUGGGAC